GAUGAAGAACGCAGCGAAAUGCGAUAAGUAAUGUGUAUUGCAGAAUUCAGUGAAUCAUCGAAUCUUUGAACGCACAUUGCGCCCGCCAGUAUUCUGGCGGGCAUGCCUGUUCGAGCGUCAUUUCAACCCUCAAGCCCAGCUUGGUGUUGGGGAUCGGCACAGGCGCCCUCGGGCGCCCGCCGUCCCCUAAAUCUAGUGGCGGUCCCGCUGCAGCCUCCUCUGCGUAGUAGUUUUCUCCUCGCAAGGGCAGCUCGGUGGCGACCUCGCCGUAAAACCCCCAACUUCUGAAAGGUUGACCUCGAAUCAGGUAGGAAUACCCGCUGAACUUAAGCAUAUCAAUAAGCGGAGGA
rnacentral:misc_RNA from 1 species